rnacentral:rRNA from 1 species
UACGAGGGGGGCAAGCGUUGUUCGGAAUUAUUGGGUGCGUAAAGGGUGCGUAGGCGGUCUGACAAGUCUGAUGUGAAAUCUAUGGGCUCAACCCAUAGUCUGCAUCGGAACUGUCGGGCUUGAGUAUGGGAGAGGUGAGUGGAAUUUCCGGUGUAGCGGUGAAAUGCGUAGAUAUCGGAAGGAACACCUGUGGCGAAAGCAGGCUUCUGGGCCGUCACUGACGCUGAUCUGCGAAAGCUAGGGGGAGCAAACAGG